CGUGAUAUGGCGCGGGAAGGCGCAGAUAGCAGAGGUUGCUCAAGCGACUCGAGCGACGAAACGUCGGACGACGAGCACUCAGAGAGACGGCGAAGAAUAGGGGUGCUACAACUUGGGGCUUUCAUUUAGGGAUUCCUGGUGAAUUCAUUCAGGUAUUCGGGGAUUGGGCCUAGGACGCAUACAGAGGGUAUCUGGAAUUCUCUAUGCCGUGCAAACUGUCAGUGGCUGAUCAGAUGUGUAGUUAUUUUUCAGGGCGUUAGUGCCUACAUUCCUAGCCUUAGUUUGGCUGUAGUUUGGAGCGCUGAGAAGUCUAUUGGUUGUAUUCAGUACAGCUUUCACCAUUUUUAGUGUAUUAUCUUUCAAUAAACCUCUCAUUGUGCCAAACUCA